rnacentral:rRNA from 1 species
GAUGAACGCUGGCGGCGUGCCUAAUACAUGCAAGUCGAGCGGCAGCACGGUCUUCGGACUGGUGGCGAGCGGCGGACGGCUGAGUAACGCGUAGGAACGUACCCCAAAGUGAGGGAUAAGCACCAGAAGUGGUGUCUAAUACCGCAUGUGCUCUACGGAGUAAAGCUUUUGCGCUUUGGGAGCGGCCUGCGCAUGAUUAGCUAGUUGGUGAGGUAAUAGCUCACCAAGGCGAUGAUCAUUAGCUGGUCUGAGAGGAUGAUCAGCCAGACUGGGACUGAGACACGGCCCAGACUCCUACGGGAGGCAGCAGUAGGGAAUUUUCCACAAUGGGCGAAAGCCUGAUGGAGCAACGCCGCGUGCAGGAUGAAGGCCUUCGGGUUGUAAACUGCUUUUAUGUGAGACGAAUAUGACGGUAACGCAUGAAUAAGGACCUGCUAACUACGUGCCAGCCGCCGCGGUAA